rnacentral:hammerhead_ribozyme from 1 species
AUCCAGCUGACGCGUCCGAAACAGAACGAAACGUGCGUCCUGUUU